GGGAUUUUUGGGGAAUUUUUUGGGGAUUUUUUUUAUUUUUUAGGGGGGGAUUUUUCUGGGGAAUUUUGGGGAAAUUUUAGGGGGUUUUUUGGGGAUUUUUGGGGGAUUUUUGGAAGAUUUUUGGGAAGUUUUUGGGGAUGUUUUUGGGGAAUUUUUUUGGGAUAUUUUGGGAGAUUUUUUUUUUUGGGGGGGGGCGGAUUUUAUGGAAUUUUUUUGGGAAUUUUUUGGGGAUUUUUGGGGGUUUUUGGGAAGAUUUUUGGGAAAUUUUUGGGGAUUUUUUUGGGGAAUUUUUUGGGGAUAUUUUGGGAGAUUUUGGAGAUUUUUUGGUGGAUUUUUUGAGGAUUUUUUGGGGGGGAUUUUUUUGGGGAUUUUUGGGAAAUUUUUGGGGAUUUUUGGGGGAUAUUUUGGGAUAAUUUUGGAAAAUUUGGGGGAAUUUUUGGGGGAAUUUUUUGGGGAUUUUUGGGGUUUUUUUUUAGAAAUUUUGGGGGUAAUUUUGGAGAUUUUGUUUGGAGAUUUUUUGGGGGGUUUUUUGGGGAUACUUUGGGGAUAUUUUUGGGAUAUUUUGGGGCUAUUUUGGGGAUAUUUUGGGGAUAAUUUUGAGCUAAAUUCAGAAUAUUUCUGAGCUAAAUUCAGAAUAUUUCUGAGAUAAAUUCCGAAUAUUUUGGGAUAUUUUGGGGAUAUUUUCAGGAUAUUUUGGGGAUAUUUUCGGGAUACUUUGGGGAUAUUUUGGGGCUAUUUUUGGGGUGAAUUGGGGCAGUUUUGGGUGUUCUCAGGGGAAGGGGGUGUCGGGGGGCCGGUGCAGCGCCGCGUCCAGCCCCGUGGCCAGGGGGACAUUUUGGGGAUAAAUUCCCAAUAUUUGGGGAUAUUUUGGGGAUACUUUUGGGGAUAAUUUUGGGGAUAUUUUGGGGAUAUUUUGGGGAUAUUUUGGGGAUAUUUUUGGGGAUAAUUUUGGGCUAAAUUCAGAAUAUUUCUGAGAUAAAUUCCAAAUAUUUUGGGAUAUUUUGGGGAUAUUUUUG
rnacentral:lncRNA from 1 species